rnacentral:lncRNA from 1 species
GCAGCAAGUGUAAUUGAAGGGAAAUGCUCUAUCCAGAUACCAAGAGGACUAGUCACGAGACCAGGCCUCAAAACAGGAAAAUGGUUCCAAUGGAGAAGUAGAGUAUGAGUCAAGAAUUGAGAGAUGAGCAAUAUACAUUAGCAUUAUAAAACACUAAAGAAAGUAUACAUGCCUAGAGCCUCUGAGGCACACUACAAAGAAGAUGACCUGAAAAGUGACUGCUUACAGGGUCCACAUAUAGGUGACAUGAAAGUUCCCUCAGCCUUGUCAGUAUGAAUGAGCCUGUAAAGUGAAGAUGAAUGAGAAAGGGAUUAGAUGAGUCAUCUGAGUCUGUAAGGCCCUUGCAACAAGAGCAUGAAGAUGAUAAAAGAGGACAGAAAGGGAACAAGUUGGGUGAAAAGAAAACAAUGAAUUAGGGUGAAAAGAUCAAGCCAGUGACCAAACUCUCUACAACUAGAAAAGACUUAUCAGUUUCUCAUUUAAGAAGCCAAAUAAGAUAUCAUUUACAUCAAAAAUGAAAAAAUAAGGGGGCAUCUACUUUCUAUAAUAACGACCUGGGAAACUCAGACCAUCCUUCCUUCUGAGGACGCUGAAAAAAACUGAAUCCAAGAACUAACAACAUAUUAAGGAACUGCCAGGUGGUGACCCAGCAUGCUAAGAACACAGCAAGGAAUUCGAAGUUGUUUUAACAUUAGAAAAUCAACUGAUGUGAUUCAGCACAUUUACUGAAUAUUAUGAUGACCUGGGCAGAGUCAGAAAAGACAACUGACAAAAUUCAGAUCCUGUUGAGAUAAAUAUUAGCAAACAACCUAGAAAAUCAAGCAUUAUAUUUAAUGGUGAAACAUUAAACAUUUCCUUCUGAGACUUGGAAUGGACAAGGAUGACAUCAUUACUUCUAUUCAACGUUGUACUGAAGGCCCCAGACACUACAGUAAGACAAAAACAGAAUGGAAGAUAAAAGGAUUGGAAAGAAAGAAACCAAACUGUCAUAACUCACAGAUCAGGUAGUGGCUAUAUGCAUACUGGCUUUGUAAUCGUUGCUUAAGCCGUAUUUGUGCUGUGCAUUUUUUAUUAACUCCUAUGCAUCGCCAGGACCCUGAAGGUGUCAUACUCUUCCUGACAGGACCUACCAGCUUGAC